GAAAGAAACAGAGACAGAGAGUACUGCCUUCAAGCUCUCACUUCAGCUACUCAAGCCAUCCUGGGAUUCUUGUAGUUGCCAACUUCUUGAUGAUACAGUGGUAUGACAUGUCUCACUCCCUCACGUCCUUAACUUUGAGAAAAACAGACAAGACACUGAGAUUCUCUAUGGAGCACAAGCCCUGACCAGAUCCAGUGCAUCCGAUGUUGUGAAGACAAGUAUCUUUGUAGGCGUCUGUAGGGUAAAGGGAUAUUGCUCCGGCUUU